GCCUUCAGAUCCGCUGCCGAGAAGAUACCUAAAGAUCUUCCAUUGAGAUCUGAGAUCUCAUACGAGCUGUUGCCUUUUUUUGCAACGAUGACGCACGCUUUAUACUGCGGACCUAACUUCGCGUUAAAGUCCUUUCCAGCAGAUGACAAAGUAAAGCUCCGUUUGAAGACUCGUUGUCCGACAGUGAAUGUAGCAUCAUCGAUCGCGUCGACGGAUUGAGAAACUGUUGGACGAAUUCCAAAGGCCUGCCAGAAGUUAUAUCCCAAGAUGCAACGACGAUUCAAGUUGGGAUCAACCAAGACCGGUAUCGAAUCAACGUUCGCAGCCAGCAAUGCAAUACGGAAAUCAUCUCGAGUAUUGCGAAACAGAACAUCGAACUUCCUCUUCUCAUCCCACGGAUUUGACAUGCCGCGAAAGAUCCGGACCAUGUCCAAGUAAAAGUCCUGGAACUUCUCCCUGACACCUUGCUUCCGGUUGUUAGCUUGCCGUUCGUAGACGUAGUCGAUGUCGACAGAUGACUUCUCAGUGUUCUCUCUGAUGCGCUCCGUGAAGAUACAAUUGCGAGACCACGGAUCCUUAGCUCGUGUUGCAGCUCAUCUAUCGUCAGAUGGCCAGGAUUCAACGCAUGGUACUGUGCCGACAAAAGAGACAUGCUAGUCUCCGCCAUGUUCAUUCAACAACACAGGAAAAUCGUAG